rnacentral:rRNA from 1 species
UACGGGGGGGAGCAAGCGUUGUUCGGAUUUACUGGGCGUAAAGGGCGCGUAGGCGGCGUGACAAGUCACUUGUGAAAUCUCCGGGCUUAACUCGGAACGGUCAAGUGAUACUGUCGUGCUAGAGUACAGAAGGGGCAACUGGAAUUCUCGGUGUAGCGGUGAAAUGUGUAGAGAUCGGGAGGAACACCGGUGGCGAAGGCGGGUCUCUGGGCAGUAACUGACGCUGAGGAGCGAAAGCGUGGGGAGCGAACAGG